UUCGGAAUUCCUGGGCGUAAAGCGCGUGUAGGCUGCUCGGAAAGUCGGAUGUGAAAGCCCUGGGCUCAACCCAGGAAGUGCACUCGAAACUCCCGAGCUGGAGUCCUGGAGAGGAAGGCGGAAUUCUCGGUGUAGAGGUGAAAUUCGUAGAUAUCGAGAGGAACAUCGGUGGCGAAGGCGGCCGUCUGGACAGUGACUGACGCUGAGACGCGAAAGCGUGGGGAGCAAACAGG
rnacentral:rRNA from 1 species